UUAUUACUAGAAUGAGUCCACUACUAUAUGGUGCCACAAAUAAUUAGUGGUGCUGGUUAAGAAGAUUGGAGUUACAAGGAGUUACAUAACAAUUACAUGCCUAUGAUUACCCUAGUUAUUGUUUGAGUUACAAUUGUAAUUACCACAUAAUUAACCUAGUUAUUGUAUUGUAACUUAUCAUUGAUUUCUUUGGCUAUAA
rnacentral:lncRNA from 1 species